UGGGGAAUAUUGGGGCAAUGGGGCGCAAGCCUGACCCAGCGACGCCGCGUGAGGGAAGAAGGUUUUCGGAUUGUAAACCUCUGUCUUCAGGGACGAUAAUGACGGUACCUGACGAAUAAGCCACGGCUAACUACGUGCCAGCAGCCGCGGUAAUACGUAGGUGGCAAGCGUUGUCCGGAUUUACUGGGUGUAAAGGGCGUGUAGCCGGGAGGGCAAGUCAGAUGUGAAAUCCACGGGCUUAACUCGUGAACUGCAUUUGAAACUACUCUUCUUGAGUAUCGGAGAGGCAAUCGGAAUUCCUAGUGUAGCGGUGAAAUGCGUAGAUAUUAGGAGGAACACCAGUGGCGAAGGCGGAUUGCUGGACGACAACUGACGGUGAGGCGCGAAAGUGUGGGGAGCAAACAGGAUUAGAUACCCUGGUAGU
rnacentral:rRNA from 1 species